rnacentral:lncRNA from 1 species
GGAUUGAACCUGGUUUUAUAGCUAGCUAAACCUCUCACUUGUAUGACAGUCGCAUCGAAGUCCAUUACAUUGUCAACGAUGCGUGAACAAAACAAACAUACUCAAAGAGUAAAAAUGUCAAAAAUAGGGGUACAGCAGUCAACAUUGUGUUAUCAUCUUAAUCACUAUAAAAACAACAAAUGUAACGAAGAAGCACAAAAGGCAUACAUCAAAUUUAAC